rnacentral:rRNA from 1 species
UACGUAGGGUGCAAGCGUUAAUCGGAAUUACUGGGCGUAAAGCGUGCGCAGGCGGUUAUGUAAGACAGAUGUGGAAAUGCCCGGCUUAACCUGGGAACUGCAUUUGUGACUGCAUGGCUAGAGUGUGUCAGAGGGGGGGUAGAAUUCCACGUGUAGCAGUGAAAUGCGUAGAUAUGUGGAGGAACACCGAUGGCGAAGGCAGCCUCCUGGGCCAGCACUGACGCUCAUGCACGAAAAGCCGUGGGGGAGCAAACAGG